rnacentral:rRNA from 1 species
GACGAACGCUGGCGGCGUGCCUAAUACAUGCCAGUAGGACGCAGUUGCGAACGGGUGAGUACCGCGUAGGUAACUACCUAUUAGAGGGGGAUAACUAUUGGAAACGAUAGCUAAUACCGCAUACUAGUAGAUGGACCUGCGUUGUAUUAGCUAGUAGGUAGGGUAAUGGCCUACCUCGGCAACGAUACAUAGCCGACCUGGGAGGGGGAUCGGCCACCCUGGGACUGUGACACGGCCCCGACUCCUACUGGAGGCAGCAGGAGGGAAACUUUGGAAAAGGGGGGAACCCUGACCGAGCAACGCCGGGUUAGUGAAGAAGGUUUUCGGAGUGUAAAGCUAUUUUGUUUAGGAAGCGGUACUUAACCAGAAAGGGACGGCUAACUACGUGCCAGCAGCCGCGGUAAUUC